rnacentral:rRNA from 1 species
UACGUAGGGCGCAAGCGUUGUCCGGAAUUAUUGGGCGUAAAGAGCUCGUAGGCGGUUUGUCGCGUCUGCUGUGAAAACCUAAGGCUCAACCUCGGGCCUGCAGUGGGGACGGGCAGACUAGAGUGCGGUAGGGGAGAUUGGAACUCCUGGUGUAGCGGUGGAAUGCGCAGAUAUCAGGAAGAACACCGAUGGCGAAGGCAGAUCUCUGGGCCGUAACUGACGCUGAGGAGCGAAAGCAUGGGGAGCGAACAGG